CUGUAUUCUGAACCAAGAUCUGGAAGCCCUCCAACAUUUUCAAAACAGAACUGCUUAUUAAUAUAGAGAAAAAGAAGCAGCAUCAGGAUAAUAAACACCCAAACAGCUGACAAAAACCCAACUGCCUCUGGAGAUACUUUUCUAAAACAGAGGAAAAGAAGUGCAGAAAGGAAGAACUGGGAAGUGAUGUUGGCCCAGGCAGAUUCUAACCCUCUAAGUUCCACAGUCUACAAGCAAGAGUGCAUUAAGGCCCACAUAGACUGCAUUCUCUGUGAUUCCAGUGAUAACUUAAGGAAAGCUUCCUGCUGACUCAAAAGGAUUUUUCUUCUUCUGAACUCCUAUUAUGGGAAUGGAUGAAAUCACUUACAGAGCCACAGAAGGAAACAAAGCAAAGCCAGGAUCAUGAGUUGGAUUAUCUGGAGGCCUAGGCCAAUGGGGAGUUAUUGCUUGCAGUCACUGAUCAAGCAAAUAAACUUUUCCUUCUUUCUUAUGAAAUUUAUUUAAGAAGCUGAAAUUACUUAAAUGAUAAUGAGUUGUGAGAAAAGAAUUGUAGUAGAUAUUUGUUCUCUAUCCAAAUUGCACUGAGUGGGGAGGUGUACCCAUACCCCAGCUUCGAGAAUUGACUGAUAACAGUUCACACCUGCACUUCUCCAGAGAAUUGUCCUUGUCUGACCUGAGCACCUUGUUUAGUAAUGUCUGGUAGGCUAUGCUCCACCUUCCCUGGGCAGAUCCACUGGUCUAAGACAAACAACCCAACCCUCUAAUUUCUGGGAAGAAUCACCUCCGUGAUUAAUCUAAGCUCCAGAUCUCCCAGAGAAAUCAUGCUGAGGCUACAUUUGUGAAACUACAUUUUUAUCUAGCUUCUUCCUUUGCCCUUUCCUGCUGUCCUCACUUCCUUAUGAAUUUUUUUCUGAAAGAUCUUGAUUAAUAAAUUAUUUAAUCAAGAUCCCCCAGUCAUAAGUUCUGUGUUUUGGAAUAUAACCUAUACAAAAAUAAAUUAAUUGGUACUAGAUAAUGCUCCGCUAUGCAUCUAUUUCAAUGUCUAUUCUUUGGAAGUUCUGUCAUCACACAUCCCCAAGUUUUAGAUAAGGUUUUUAGCUAACAGCCAGGAAAAGAUUCAAUAAACUUAAAAGAAAAAGUGUUUUUAAAUGUAAUAUUUUUUGUCUCUAAAGAAGUUUUUGUAUUGCAAAUGUUAAUCUCUUAAAAUAGAGGGGAACGAAGAAUGAAAAAAGAAAUAUUUUUAAGAUGUCCUUUUAAAACAUAGUCCCUCAAGCUAGUUGUUGUAGUUUUAGAAUAUAAAGAGCCCAGUAAAGAUGGUUUCAGUGAGAAGCUAUUAUUAAGAAAUGAGACUAGAAAGUUUUGGAGUCAAUAUCUGUAGCCUUUUGAUACUGAAAAUUCUGCAUAGUGGAUGGGAGUCAUGAGAAUUUUCCAGUCUUUAUUUUGGAAAUCUCUUACCUAUCCAACUAUAAUAACUGUCAUGUCAUUUAUAGUAUUAUCUUUUUGGAUUGUCCUGAGCAUUCAGUUCCAAAGUGAAGUCAAUGUAUCAUAGAACAUAUGGAAAAAUUCCAGAACUCAUGUUUAUAUUUAUUUUUAUCUAAACAAACAAUUUUUUACAGCAUUGGCUUUGAGGUGUGGAAUCUUAGCAGAAGUACAUUAAUUACUGGAUGCU
rnacentral:lncRNA from 10 species